GAUGAACGCUGGCGGCGUGCCUAAUACAUGCAAGUCGAGCGAACAGACGAGGAGCUUGCUCCUCUGACGUUAGCGGCGGACGGGUGAGUAACACGUGGAUCACCUACCUAUAUGACUGGGAUAACUUCGGGAAACCGGAGCUAAUACCGGAUAAUAUAUUGAACCGCAUGGGUCAAUAGUGAAAUACGGUUUUUCUGUCUGUUAUAGAGGGAUCCGCGCCGCAUUAGCUAGUUGGUAAGGUAACGGCUUACCAAGGCAACGAGGCGUAACCGACCGGCGAGGGUGAUCGGCCACACUGGAACUGAGACACGGUCCAGACUCCUACGGGAGGCAGCAGUAGGGAAUCUUCCGCAAUGGGCGAAAGCCUGACGGAGCAACGCCGCGUGAGUGAUGAAGGUCUUCGGAUCGUAAAACUCUGUUAUUAGGGAAGAACAAAUGUGUAAGUAACUAUGCACGUCUUGACGGUACCUAAUCAGAAAGCCACGGCUAACUACGUG
rnacentral:rRNA from 1 species